GACGAACGCUGGCGGCAUGCCUAACACAUGCAAGUCUAGGGGUAGCAAUACCACUGGCGCACGGGUGAGUAACACGUAGGUUAUCUGCCCCCAUCACAGACAUAACCCCGGGAAACCGGGGCUAAUAUCUGAUGAGGUCGCGAGAUCAAAGCUUCGGCGGAUGGGGAUGAGCCUGCGGCUGAUUAGCUAGUUGGUGAGGUAAUGGCUCACCAAGGCGACGAUCAGUAGCUGGUCUGAGAGGACGAACAGCCACACUGGAACUGAGACACGGUCCAGACUCCUACGGGAGGCAGCAGUGAGGAAUAUUGGGUCAAUGGGAGCAAUCCUGAACCAGCAAUGCCGCGUGUGGGAUGACAGGGCUUCGCCUUGUAAACCACUGUCGGACGGGACGAAAGGAGGCCUCGGGCCUCUGGGACGGUACCGUCAAAGGAAGGGUCGGCUAACUACGUGCCAGCAGCCGCGGUAAU
rnacentral:rRNA from 1 species